rnacentral:tRNA from 1 species
GUGGGUGUAGCUCAGUUGGUUAGAGCGCCGGUCUGUGGAACCGGAGGUCAUGGGUUCAAGUCCCAUUAUCCACCCCA